rnacentral:rRNA from 1 species
AUGGCUCCAAGCCUUAGCCAGCAGACUUGCCUAGAAGCCUGCAUCCAUCUGCAAAGCAUGAGGGGCCGCGACCUCACCGGCUCGCUGCCGGACGAUGUCCUCCAGCACGUGCUCUCCUUCCUGCCAUCGCGCGACGCCGUGCAGACGUCGGUGCUCGCCCCCCGCUGGCGCCACCUCUGGAAAUCCACCCCCGCCGUCCGCGUCCGCGGCAGGGGAGACGGCUUUCGCCUCUUCGUCAACAGCCUGCUGCGCCACCGGAACGACGCCUCGCCGCUGCACACCUUCGAGAUCGACGACCUCGUGAAAGGCCCCCAGCCGUCCACCAACUUCUUCUUUGACGACGACGACGACGACGACGAGGACGUCUCCGAGACCGACCCCCACCCGGACGUCGACCUGUGGAUCAGGCACGCCUUGUCCACGUGCCGCGCCACCUCGCUCACGGCACGCUUCGACGAAGAGGGCUUCCUGCCGUGGCGUCCGCGCCCCCCUUUCGCCUUCACGUCCAGCCAGCUCACGACCAUGCACCUCGAGUUCGUCGAGCUCGCCGACGGCCUCCUCGACUUCUCCCCCUGCCCGGCGCUCCUGCGCCUCAGCCUCAGCGGAUGCCGCCUC